UACGUAGGGUGCGAGUGUUGCCCGGAUUUAUUGGGCGUAAAGGGCGCGUAGGCGGUCACGCACGUCCGUUGUGAAAUCGCUCGGCUCAACUGGGCGGGGUCAGCGGAUACGGCGUGGCUGGAGCAAGCUAGGGGGCAAUGGAAUUCCCGGUGUAGUGGUGGAAUGCGUAGAUAUCGGGAGGAACACCAGUGGCGAAGGCGGUUGCCUGGAGCUUUGCUGACGCUGAUGCGCGAAAGCGUGGGGAGCGAUCCGG
rnacentral:rRNA from 1 species